UCCAUGGAUGUCAGCCCCUGUAGCCAGAGCUCUGUUGUCUCCAGGCCUGCUGGGACCUGGUGACUGGGUACAGAAGGUAAAUGGAUACACAAGACCAAAAAAGCAAGGGAGAAGAGCUCUCCUUCCCUCCUAUCUUGCUGAAGAUCAGGGCACAGAAGCUGGGCUACCCUGCUUUGAGCAACCUGUGUUGGAGGGAUUUUCAUGAGUUCACAUAGGCUGCCAAACUGCAUCUGUUGAACUUGUUUCUUUCUGGCUGUGGGCUUAACAGAGACUGACAGAGUCUGCAGCACCAGCUCCAGCUGCUUGCAGCCUGGGCUGGAAGACUGCAGGGCUCCCUGCAGGAGUGCAGCACCAGGGGAUCCCCACUGCACUUGCAUGGCGCAUUAUGGGAGUUCUGAGGGCCUCCCAGGCCUGCCGGCAGUGGUGGAGGAUCAUCGGCAAAGGAGGAUCGGUGGAGGAGCAUCAGCAAAGAGGAAUGGCUCAUCUGCGGGGGAGUGAUUGUUAUGGAGAAACUAGGACUACAACCUUGGCUCUCUUUCUGAAUUGCAAAAAUCCAAAAACUUGCAAGGGGAUCAAAAUUCCAUCUCCUGCUGACAUAAUAGCCUUGGUUUCCAAGCCACCACUUCAGAAUCUCCACCCCAGCCAGGCAGGCAGCAGCCAACAAGUGGGGGGAAUAUACAUGAUUGCCAGAGCUGCCUGGAAUCGCUGAGAUGCAGGAUUUCUCUCUGGAUGAAACUUCAGCAGAGAUGCCCGAGGAGAAACAUCCCUGCAGCAGCUGGGGGUGGGGGAGGUGACCCACAAGUGUGUCCAAUCAAUGCAACAAUGCAGAGGGGGAGAAGAGGAGAGGAGCACAGAGGGGUCCAAGUGCAUUCAAGUGUUUCAUCUCCUGUCAAGACACAUUAAACAGCUAUUUCCAUCCUCAACUCACUUAGAAGGUUUACCAAGAGUUUUCAGCAGCUUGAAUCUUUAACUGGAGGAGGAGGGUAUUAACUGGUGAUAUCAAGGAAAUCAAGACCAUACCCUCCAUCUGAGUUCCCAGCUUAUAAAGACACAGAUGAGUGAAUCCAAGGAGCAUGCACAAGGCAACGAGUACCAGCGCAUCCAAGUUUUAGCACGGUAAUUGUGACAGCCCAUCAUCAUUGUUGUAUUGCAAGAAUGGAGGAAAAGAAGUCUGAGGGCUCUCCCUCACCAGAGGUCUGAAUGUGUUUUGAAAGAAGAUAUGUCAAAUGUGGCAGUUCAUACACAGCCCAGUUAAGGAAUUUGUGGCCUCAUUGCUGCAAACUUUAGGCAUCUGUAUAACCUAAGAUAAUGAGGUGGCUAGAGUUCGAAGCAGGCUGGAAAGCCCGGGAAAAUGUCGUAUUAAAACAGCUGCUGCUGCUACCAGUGACAUGAGCUAACAAAAGCUGCAAAGCGUGACAGCUGACUGGUAGCAUUGGAAGGGCUGUGCCUUGGGCGAGGAGGAGACAGAAAUCACAAGGCUGAGCACCUCCAGUAAUUCCUCAGAAGGUGCCUGUAAUACCUGGUUAGUGUGUGCCCUGCUGUGUGCCCCAUUAACAUUGCUCACCCAGUCCUUUAAUCCUGACCCCUGCUACUUGGAGUCUUAGCAUUUUACAGUUCUAAUGGUUUUGCCUACAAAAUCCCUGUAGCCUGAUACACAUUACUAUUUUUACAGUAAUAUUUCUAAUACCCAGCAUGAGCGGGGUGUGUGUGUGUGUGUGUGUGUGUAUAAAACCAAGCACCAG